rnacentral:rRNA from 1 species
GAUGAACGCUGGCGGCGUGCUUAACACAUGCAAGUCGAACGAUGAAGCCCAGCUUGCUGGGUGGAUUAGUGGCGAACGGGUGAGUAACACGUGAGUAACCUGCCCUUAACUCUGGGAUAAGCCUGGGAAACUGGGUCUAAUACCGGAGAGGAGCGUCCACCGCAUGGUGGGUGUUGGAAAGAUUUAUCGGUUUUGGAUGGACUCGCGGCCUAUCAGCUUGUUGGUGAGGUAAUGGCUCACCAAGGCGACGACGGGUAGCCGGCCUGAGAGGGUGACCGGCCACACUGGGACUGAGACACGGCCCAGACUCCUACGGGAGGCAGCAGUGGGGAAUAUUGCACAAUGGGCGAAAGCCUGAUGCAGCGACGCCGCGUGAGGGAUGACGGCCUUCGGGUUGUAAACCUCUUUCAGUAGGGAAGAAGCGACAGUGACGGUACCUGCAGAAGAAGCACCGGCUAACUACGUG